rfam:Exiguobacterium sp. AT1b, complete genome.
AUCAACACGUUGAGUAGGACGCGUCGAUCGAGUCAUACCUACGAAGCGACUUAGGGACGGUGAGAGCCUAAGAGAAAGACUCGAAUCGGUAUCCCCUAUGAGUCGUCACGCUGAACCAGAGUAAGCGUGACCGCCUGACCUCGUUAUCGGUUACCGAGAGCGGUCUCAUGAGAGUGAGACUAGUAGGGUGGUACCGCGAGUCAACCAACUCGUCCCUAUC